rnacentral:rRNA from 1 species
GAUGAACGCUGGCGGCGUGCCUAAUACAUGCAAGUAGAACGCUGAAGGAGGAGCUUGCUCUUCUGGAUGAGUUGCGAACGGGUGAGUAACGCGUAGGUAACCUGCCUGGUAGCGGGGGAUAACUAUUGGAAACGAUAGCUAAUACCGCAUGACAACAGUUAUUGCAUGAUAACUGUUUAAAAGGGGCAACUGCUCCACUACCAGAUGGACCUGCGUUGUAUUAGCUAGUUGGUGAGGUAACGGCUCACCAAGGCGACGAUACAUAGCCGACCUGAGAGGGUGAUCGGCCACACUGGGACUGAGACACGGCCAGACUCCUACGGGAGGCAGCAGUAGGGAAUCUUCGGCAAUGGACGGAAGUCUGACCGAGCAACGCCGCGUGAGUGAAGAAGGUUUUCGGAUCGUAAAGCUCUGUUGUAAGAGAAGAACGAGUGUGAGAGUGGAAAGUUCACACUGUGACGGUAUCUUACCAGAAAGGGACGGCUAACUACGUG